UCCCUGGUGGUCCAGUGGUUAAGACUCCGAGCUUCCAAUUCUGGGAGCAUGGGUUCGAUCCCUGGACAGGGAA
rnacentral:tRNA from 1 species